rnacentral:lncRNA from 1 species
AGUAGAUGAAGAUGUUAAAUAGCUGGUGUAUAUCCUAAAGUCUGGGAUUUCACAGAGAUCAACUUCAGGGGUUGUGAUGGAUCAGCUUGCAGAAAACAAGUCUUAGACCUGGCUUGGGAUGCUUGGACAAGCAGAGGUCUUUGAAGAUGGCCAACCAUGUCACUCCACCUACCCUGGCUGCUUCCACCAUUGUGAUGUCAUCCACCAUGAAGCCCUCACCAGAGGAUGAAUUGAUGGGGCCAGCUGGUCUUGUACUCCCAGCCUCCAAAAUUGUGAGCUAAAGCCUCCUGAGAUCUCCUGGCAGGACGAACUGGAUUUCUUUCAUGUUGAACAUUGAUCACAUCCCACCCAAGAAACUGGAACCUCCCUCUCCUCAUCUAGAUAAAUGACCCAGGCUCUGUUAGAG